UACGAAGGGUGCUAGCGUUGCUCGGAAUCACUGGGCGUAAAGCGCACGUAGGCGGCUUCUUAAGUCAGGGGUGAAAUCCUGGAGCUCAACUCCAGAACUGCCUCUGAUACUGAGGAGCUUGAGUCCGGGAGAGGUGAGUGGAACUCCGAGUGUAGAGGUGAAAUUCGUAGAUAUUCGGAGGAACACCAGUGGCGAAGGCGGCUCACUGGCCCGAGACUGACGCUGAGAUGCGAAAGCGUGGGGAGCAAACAGG
rnacentral:rRNA from 1 species